rnacentral:rRNA from 1 species
UUCGCAAUGCCCGAAAGGGUGACGAAGCGACGCCGCGUGCGGGAAGAAGGCCUUCGGGUUGUAAACCGCUGUCGGGAGUUAAGAAAUGCAGAGAUGUUAAUAGCGUCUUUGCUUGACUAAGGCUCCGGAGGAAGCCACGGCUAACUCUGUGCCAGCAGCCGCGGUAAUACAGAGGCGGCAAGCGUUGUUCGGAAUUAUUGGGCGUAAAGAGCACGUAGGCGGCUCUGCAAGUCAGCUGUGAAAGCCUUCUGCUUAACGGAAGAACGGCAGUUGAAACUACAGGGCUUGAGUGCGGGAGGGGAGAGUGGAACUUCUGGUGGAGCGGUGAAAUGCGUAGAUAUCAGAAGGAACGCCGGCGGCGAAAGCGGCUCUUUGGUCCGUAACUGACGCUGAGUGUGCGAAAGCUAGGGGAGCAAACGGGAUUAGAUACCCCGGUAGUCCUAGCCGUAAACGAUGGGCACUAAGUAGAGGGGUUUU